rnacentral:tRNA from 1 species
GGGCCUGUAGUGUAAUGGUAUCACGGGGGGCUGGCAGUCCCUUGACCCGAGUUCGAUUCUCGGCAGGUCCA